AGCAUGCAAGUUGAGCGGCAAGGGGGAGCGAUCCCCCCUAGAGCGGCGGACUGGUGACUAUCACGUGGAUGAUCUACCCGAGGCAUGGGGAUAGUCACUACAAAUAGUGGGUAAUACCGAAUACGGUGCGCAUCGUGAGGGUGCGCAAGAAAGGUGCUACGGCACCGGCCUAGGAUGAGUCUGCGUCCCAUUAGCUGGUUGGUGAGGUAAGAGCCCACCAAGGCGAUGAUGGGUAGCCGGCCUGAGAGGGUGUACGGCCACACUGGGACUGAGAUACGGCCCAGACUCCUACGGGAGGCAGCAGCUAAGAAUAUUCCGCAAUGGACGAAAGUCUGACGGAGCGACGCCGCGUGGAUGAAGAAGGCCGAAAGGUUGUAAAGUUCUUUUGUUGGGGAAGAAUAACCAUGGGAGGGAAUGCCCGUGGGAUGACAUGAACCGACGAAUAAGCCCCGGCUAACUACGUGCCAGCAGCCGCGGUAACACGUAGGGGGCGAGCGUUGUUCGGAAUUACUGGGCGUAAAGGGCAUGUAGGCGGUCUUGUAAGCUUGGCGUGAAAGACCACGGCUCAACCGUGGGAUUGCGUUGAGAACUGCGAGGCUUGAGUGACGGAGAGGGAGCUAGAAUUCCUGGUGUAGGGGUGGAAUCUGUAGAGAUCAGGAAGAAUACCAAUGGCGAAGGCAAGCUCCUGGCCGAUGACUGACGCUGAGGUGCGAAAGUGUGGGGAUCAAACAGGAUUAGAUACCCUGGUAGUCCACACUGUAAACGAUGUGCACUAGGUGCUGGUACGGAUGUAUCAGUGCCGUAGCUAACGUGAUAAGUGCACCGCCUGGGGAGUAUGCUCGCAAGGGUGAAACUCAAAGGAAUUGACGGGGGCCCGCACAAGCGGUGGAGCAUGUGGUUUAAUUCGAUGGUACGCGAGGAACCUUUACUGGGUUUGACAUACAGCGGUAUU
rnacentral:rRNA from 1 species